rnacentral:rRNA from 1 species
GAUGAACGCUGGCGGCGUGCCUAAUACAUGCAAGUCGAGCGAACAGAUGAGGAGCUUGCUCCUCUGACGUUAGCGGCGGACGGGUGAGUAACACGUGGAUAACCUACCUAUAAGACUGGGAUAACUUCGGGAAACCGGAGCUAAUACCGGAUAAUAUAUUGAACCGCAUGGUUCAAUAGUGAAAGACGGCUUUGCUGUCACUUAUAGAUGGAUCCGCGCCGCAUUAGCUAGUUGGUAAGGUAACGGCUUACCAAGGCAACUAUGCGUAGCCGACCUGAGAGGGUGAUCGGCCACACUGGAACUGAGACACGGUCCAGACUCCUACGGGAGGCAGCAGUAGGGAAUCUUCCGCAAUGGGCGAAAGCCUGACGGAGCAACGCCGCGUGAGUGAUGAAGGUCUUCGGAUCGUAAAACUCUGUUAUUAGGGAAGAACAAAUGUGUAAGUAACUAUGCACGUCUUGACGGUACCUAAUCAGAAAGCCACGGCUAACUACGUG